ACAAGCCUGAGAAACGGCUAGUAGGACUAAGGUCUGCAGCAGGCGCGAAACUUACACAAUGCUAGAUUUCUAUCAUAGCGAUGUAGUGAAGAAAAAUAACGAUGUGCUUGUAUUUAAACAUACUUGCACAAUUGGAAUGAGACGACUCUAAACCAGUCAGUCGAGUAACAAAUGGAGGGCAAGUCUGGUGCCAGCAGCCGCGGUAAUUCCAGCUCCAUUAGCAUACAUUAAAGUUGUUGCGGUUAAAAAGCUCGUAGUUGAAUAUUGGACGGGCCUUUGUUGGCGGCGGUCGUUAAAGGUCGGCUCGGACUCCGGUCCAGCUGGCUGGCCGUCGACCAGCUUGGGGCUCGUUGUUUCGUCACUUAAUCGAGUGCGAAGCGGGUCGGAGCAAGCUGCAGCAAUGCACUCGCGACGACAUGUUUACCUUGAGAAAAUUAGAGUGCUCAGAGCAGGCAGUUGGGGUGUAAAAGCCCCUUUAUGCUUGAAUAAUGUUGCAUGGAAUAAUAGAAUACGGCCUCGGUUCUAUUCUGUUGGUCUUAUAGAACAACAAACAAGUUGGCUGGGGCACUAAACGGCGCGCCAAGGGCGUGGCCGCGCGCCCGUCCCUGUUGUCUGGGGCCUAAAAAUCUCAGUACCUCGGCGGAGCGCGGCCGCUAAGCGCCCUCGGCUGCGUUAGCCACCAACCAACUGAGGCAAUGGUUAAAAGAAAUAGUCGCGGCGGCAUCAGUACUGCAUCGUGAGAG
rnacentral:rRNA from 1 species